rnacentral:rRNA from 1 species
UUAUUUUUUAAUAAUUAAUUUUUAUAUAAUUUUUAUAUAAUUAAUAUUUUAGUUAUUUAUAGGAAUAAAUAUUAUAAUAUAAUAAUAUUUUAAUAAUGAUAAAAUAAGUAUUUUAUAUAUAUAAAAUAUAGUAACUCGGCAAAUAUUAUUUUCGCCUGUUUAACAAAAACAUGGUCUUUUGUUUAUAUAAAAGAUCUAACCUGCCCUAUGAUUUAUUUAAAUGGCUGCAGUAUUUUGACUGUACAAAGGUAGCAUAACCAUUUGUCUUUUAAUUGAAGGCUUGUAUGAAUGGUUGGAUGAAAAAUAUACUUUCUUUAUUUUAUAUAAAAAAUUUAAUUUUCUAGUCAAAAAGCUAGGAUUUUUUUAUAGGACGAGAAGACCCUAUAGAACUUUAUUUUCUUUUUUUAUAAACUUUAUAGAUAAAUAUAAGUUUAUAUAUUUUUGUUAAUUUUGUUGGGGUGAUUGAAAAAAUUUUUUAACUUUUUCUAUUUUUUACAUUUAUAUAUGUUUUUUUGAUCCUUUAUUAUGGAAUAAAAGAUUAAGUUACCUUAGGGAUAACAGCGUUAUUUUUUUGGAGAGUUCUUAUCGAUAAAAAAGUUUGCGACCUCGAUGUUGG